UUUUGCAAGAAGUGCUCCAAGGUACCAUGGCGUGAUCCUCCAUGUACAGGUGUGGCUGAGCUGCCAGCUGAAUAACCAAUGCUCCUACUACACUGCCCACCCAUGGCCCCCACACCCACACUGCAUUGUACUGUGUUCUCUAGGAAGUCAGGUACAAACUAUGGGAAAAUUUCCAGUAUUCUGUGCUGCUGUUAUUCCUGAGGACUCAGUUGCAAAUAGCUAUAGAAACUUUGUUCUUGAAAAACAAAUUGAUGUUACUUAAAUAAAUGAGAAGAUGGGUUUUGCUUAAAAUGUUUAAAAUGUGUUUAAAAACCAAAAAAGGUAAACAAGUAAUGAAUAAAAAUUAAAAAACCAAAAAGGUAAAUAAGUGGAUUAUUUCUUCUGAAGCAAUAUAUUAUAAGCUUAAUAAGUCCGUGUCCAAAUAAAGAUCUAUCUUCAAAGAUUUUUGAAUGUUAACUUGAGUAAUUUUGAAUGAAUAGAACCAAGAACACAAUAGAGAAAAUCACAAUUAUGAUGUUUAUUUAGCAAAAUAAACUUGAAAGAUUUCUAUUAAAAAUGUAAGAAUCAUAUCCAAAUUUUAGGCUCUCAUAUUCUUUGGUACUGAAGUUAGGAUAGCAAAUAUUUUAUUUUGAAACAGUCAUUGGAUCUAUAAAGUUUCCCACAAAAGGAAAAUAUAUUGAAUUACCUGCAUUUGUCUUAUUUACUAAAAUGCCACUGAAUAUAUAAAAUCAACCAAUUACAUGCUCUCAGAGAUCAACUUCAUCAAGAAAAUAUUCAUUUUUUUAAAUGUUUCCUACUGGAAAUAUAUUUUGAGUUUUAAUGAUCUGUCAUCAUUUCUAUUAUGCUAUCUGAAUAGUCAUCCAGUUCUUGUAAAAAAAAUCUGAUGUUUCUAUUUUAAAAGCCUAGAUAUCUUGGAAUUGUGUUUCAUUCUUUUCCUCUAUAAAAGUAAGAAGAAAAAUACUAACAAGUUUAAAUUAAUAAUAAGCCCAGUUCUAAUUUUUGUAUCUUAA